UACGUAGGUGGCAAGCGUUGUCCGGAUUUACUGGGCGUAAAGAGCGCGCAGGCGGUCGUCAAGUCGCGUGUGAAAGCCCCCGGCUCAACUGGGGAGGGUCACGCGAUACUGAUCGACUCGAAGGCAGGAGAGGGUAGUGGAAUUCCCGGUGUAGUGGUGAAAUGCGUAGAUAUCGGGAGGAACACCAGUGGCGAAGGCGACUACCUGGCCUGUUCUUGACGCCUGAGGCGCGAAAGCUAGGGGAGGCAAACGGGGAU
rnacentral:rRNA from 1 species